AGCGAACGUUUGCGGCGGGCUUAACACAUGCAAGUCGAACGGGCUGUUCCUUCGGGGGCAGUCAGUGGCACACGGGUGCGUAACACGUAGGUAAUCAACCCUCUGGUUGGGGAUAACACUUCGAAAGGAGUGCUAAUACCCGGUAUGGCGCAGCGGUCUUCGGAUCGCGGCGAGAAAGACCCGCAAGGGUUGCCAGAGGACGAGCCUGCGGCCCAUCAGCUAGUUGGCGAGGUAACGGCUCACCAAGGCGAAGACGGGUAGCUGGUCUGAGAGGAUGAUCAGCCACACUGGAACUGAGACACGGUCCAUACUCCUACGGGAGGCAGCAGUGGGGAAUAUUGCGCAAUGGGCGAAAGCCUGACGCAGCCACGCCGCGUGAGCGAUGAAGGCC
rnacentral:rRNA from 1 species